UACGUAGGUGGCAAGCGUUGUCCGGAUUUACUGGGCGUAAAGAGCGCGCAGGCGGUCGUUCAAGUCGCGUGUGAAAGCCCCCGGCUCAACUGGGGAGGGUCACGCGAUACUGAUCGACUCGAAGGCAGGAGAGGGAAGUGGAAUUCCUGGUGUAGCGGUGAAAUGCGUAGAUAUCAGGAGGAAUACCGGUGGCGAAAGCGACUCUCUGGACGGCAACUGACGCUGAGGCACGAAAGCGUGGGGAGCAAACAGG
rnacentral:rRNA from 1 species